CCGGCUGGACACCUUUUAUUAUUGGUGCCGUGACUCGGACUGGUGGGGGCUGUGUGGCCUUGCUAUGGGAAGGGACUUUCCCUCCCUUGGUUUAAGCCCCGCCCCCCCAACGAGCCACUUUUCCUUUGUCUGGAUAUGUGUUGUUGCCAGCCUGCAUGCAAUACUGACUAGCUCUAAUUCUCACAGGACAACUUGUCACCAUGGGAAUCUUCGAUUGCUCAUCUCCUGGGCAUCACCACAGAAGAAGAUUGACGGGGCUUGGGCUCCACGGCCCCCAUUAAGGUAUCCUACUUGGAGCCCUGAGUCUCGCUGGAAGUCUCAGCAAUCAAGGUCGCCUGCCUUCCGUCCUGGUUCCACAUCAUCCAGGCAAAAAGGUGCCCCAGCAACCUGGUCACUCCAGACCCCAAACCUUCAGCACCAGAGUGGUCAUCACAACUUUUAUCUCCUACCCAUCUAAAACUCACUAGAACCUCUAGUGAGUUACCAAGGUAUUGUACAACCUGCCAAGAGUCUCACCCUGUAGUUCUCAAGGAUGUGGCUGCGACAGGUCAAUCAUUUCCAACAGUCAAACUCCAGUAUUGGGUGUACCUCUGU